ensembl:lncRNA
GUUGGAUCUCCUUGCAGUCCAAGGGACUCUCAAGAGUCUUCUCCAACACCACAGUUCAAAAGCAUCAAUUCUUCGGCACUCAGCUUUCUUUACAGUCCAACUCUCACAUCCAUACAUGACUAGUGGAAAAACCACAGCCCUGACUAGAUGGACCUUUGCUGACAAAGUAAUGUCUCUGCUUUUUAAUAUGCUAUCUAGGUUGGUCAUAGCUUUUCUCCCACGGAGCAAGCAUCUUUUAAUUUCAUGGCUGCAGUCAUCAUCUGCAGUGAUUUUGGAGCCCCCCAAAAUAAAGUCUGUCACUGUUUCCACUGUUUCCCCAUCUAUUUGCCAUGAAGUGAUGGGACCAGAUGCCAUGAUUUUAGUUUUCUGAAUGUUGAGCUUUAAGCCAACUUUUUAGCAUUUUCGGUUGUAGUUAUUUUUUAAUCUUCCCAGCUGUAGUAUAAACUUGAGAAAAACGCCUUCAUCUUUGUAGAACCUGCUCACUCAGUUAAUGGGAUGUGGAUCUUUUAAAAAUAUAAAAGACGACCUGGAGGCAAUCAAUUGGAAAACUGAAUGAAGGUUAAAAUCAAGGCCUCCAGGGCAGUAGGAAGGCUCAAUCUGAGACAAUGGUGAGAACACAGGACACUAAGAAUGCUAGUGGAGUUUUGAAGUAGGAACCUGGAGGUGGUAAGUUGGAGUCUGAUAGCCUUGCCCCUAAAUGGUUUGCAUCAGCUGAAGAAAUUGGUUGCAUUCACUUAAAGUAUAGAAUUUUUUCUGUAUUCCUCUGCUAACAAUGCCUUCUGUUCUUUCCAUUUAAAAAGAAUGCAUCAGCUUUUGGAGGACCACAUAAAGUUAUUAUGCAACACUGAAUUUCUAAACUACUGAUAAGGUAAAGAUGCAGUACCUGCAACCAUCUGUGUAGAAUUCAAACGUUUUAGGCCAAACCUUUAAGCCAAGCUUAAAGGAAGGUGUGGUGCUUUGUUUUGAUCAGAGAUUUGUCAUCCAUUGACUUCCAGAAUAACUUUUAAAUGAACCCAUCUCAAAAAGCCAGAGCAAGGAUGUUAUAGCAGAAUUGGCCUUCACAGGGAAAAAACUGGCAGCUGUAGACUGGUGGUUAAGGUCACAGAACUACUCUUUUAAAUGAUACUCAAGUGUGAAAUAAUAAUGUGGCCCCUUUUUUGGUUUGAGUUCUGGAUAAAGGCAGACAUGUUACAUUGUACUGGAAGUUCCACUGUCAUUUUACUACAACUUUGAGAGAGCCAAAUUAGUAAAAGCAAGCUCUAACGUCAGGAGCUGCUCCACAAAGGCUCUGGCUUACUUCUUGAGUUUUCAUCCUCAUUCUUACGUGUCUAUUAACAUUCAUUCUAAAACUGCAUAUGUUCACCUAAAUCUGUUUAUGAAGGUUCUAAAAGGCAAAACUUCAGUUAUAUGAAAAGUUAGGUUACCUAGGGCUACAUCUCUGAUCACUCAGUCUUUAUUUGAACUCUAGUCAAACUUACCAAGCACCCCUCACAAUAUUAGAAUCUCUGUAGGGAUAUGAAGUGUAAGCCUGUGUCACUCAGCAGGAUUUUUAUUUUACUUUAGAACAUUUAAUUUUAUUCUAAGGAGUAAGGAUUUUUUUUUAAAAAAAAAGCAGGUAUUUAUCUCAAGGUCUUGGUUUAUAAAAGUCAUUAAGUUUAUAUAUAGUUUACAG